UACGGAGGGAGCUAGCGUUGUUCGGAAUUACUGGGCGUAAAGCGUGCGUAGGCGGUUAUUCAAGUCAGAGGUGAAAGCCCGGGGCUCAACCCCGGAACGGCCUUUGAAACUAGGUAACUAGAAUCUUGGAGAGGUUAGUGGAAUUCCGAGUGUAGAGGUGAAAUUCGUAGAUAUUCGGAAGAACACCAGUGGCGAAGGCGACUAACUAGACAAGUAUUGACGCUGAGGUACGAAAGCGUGGGGAGCAAACAGG
rnacentral:rRNA from 1 species